rnacentral:rRNA from 1 species
UACGUAGGGGGCGAGCGUUGUCCGGAUUCAUUGGGCGUAAAGAGCUCGUAGGCGGCUUGGCAAGUCGGGUGUGAAACCUCCAGGCUUAACCUGGAGACGCCACCCGAUACUGCCAUGGCUAGAGUCCGGUAGGGGACCACGGAAUUCCUGGUGUAGCGGUGAAAUGCGCAGAUAUCAGGAGGAACACCGGUGGCGAAGGCGGUGGUCUGGGCCGGCACUGACGCUGAGGAGCGAAAGCGUGGGGAGCGAACAG